rnacentral:rRNA from 1 species
CGGACCGGNCGGACGGGUGCGUAACGCGUAUGUAACCUACCUUUGACAGGGGGAUAACAUCGAGAAAUUGGUACUAAUACCCCAUAACAUCACCGGAGGCAUCUUCGGUGGUUGAAAACUCAGGUGGUCAGAGAUGGACAUGCGUUGUAUUAGCUAGUUGGUGAGGUAACGGCUCACCAAGGCGACGAUACAUAGGGGGACUGAGAGGUCAACCCCCCACAUUGGUACUGAGACACGGACCAAACUCCUACGGAAGGCAGCAG